rnacentral:lncRNA from 1 species
ACCGCCCUUAAUCCAUUUAACCCUGAGUGGACACAGCACAUAUUUCAGAGAGCACGGGGUUGGGGGUAAGGUCUUAGAUUAACAGCAUCCCAAGGCAGAAGAAUUUUUCUUAGUACAGAACAAAAUGAAGUCUCCCAUGUCUACUUCUUUCUACACAGACACGGCAACAAUCUGAUUUCUCUAUCUUUUCCCCACCUUUCCCCCUUUUCUAUUCCACAAAACCGCCAUCGUCAUCAUGGCCCGUUCUCAAUGAGCUGUUGGGUACACCUCCCAGACGGGGUGGUGGCCGGGCAGAGGGGCUCCUCACCUCCCAGACGGGGCGGCCGGGCAGAGGCGACCCCCCACCUCCCGGACGGGACAGCGGCCGGGCGGAGGCGCCCCCCACCUCGCUCCCGGGCGGGGCGGCUGGCCGGGCGGGGACUGAUCCCCCACCUCCCUCCCGGAAGGCGCGGCUGGCCGGGCGGGGGCUGACCCCCCACCUCCCUCCCGGACGGCGCGGCUGGCCGGGAGGGGGCUGACCCCCCACCUCCCUCCCGGACGGGGCGGCUGCCGGGCGGAGGGGCUCCUCACUUCUCAGACGGGGCGGCUGCCAGGCGGAGGGGCUCCUCACUUCUCAGACGGGGCGGCUGGGCAGAGACGCUCCUCACCUCCCAGACUGGGUCGCGGCCGGGCAGAGGCGCUCCUCACAUCCCAGACGGGGCGGCGGGGCUGAGGUGCUCCCCACAUCUCAGAUGAUGGGCAGCCGGGCAGAGACACUCCUCACUUCCUAGAUGGGAUGGCGGCCAGGAAGAGGCGCUCCUCACUUCCCAGACUGGGCAGCCGGGCAGAGGGGCUCCUCACAUCCCAGACAAUGGGCGGCCAGGCAGAGACACUCCGCACUUCCCAGAGGGGGUGGCGGCCGGGCAGAGGCUGUAAUCUCGGCACUUUGGGAGGCCAAGGCGGGCGGCUGGGAGGUGGAGGUUGUAGCUAGCCGAGAUCACGACACUGCACUCCAGCCUGGGCAACAUUGAGCACCGAGUGAACGAGACUCCGUCUGCAAUCCCGGCACCUCCGGAGGCCGAGGCUGGCGGAUCACUCGCGGUUAGGAGCUGGAGACCAGCCCGGCCAACACAGUGAAACCCCGUCUCCACCAAAAAAAUACGAAAACCAGUCAGGCGUGGCGGCGCGCGCCUGCAAUCGCAGGCACUCGGCAGGCUGAGGCAGGAGAAUCAGGCAGGGAGGUUGCAGUGAGCCGAGAUGGCAGCAGUACAGUCCAGCUUCGGCUCGGCAUCAGAGGGAGACCGUGACCAUGGAAAGAGAGGCAGAGGGAGACCGUGGGGAGAGGGAGAGGGAGAGGGACCUUGGUUUUCUUUCUUUUCUUUUUCUUUUUUUUUGAGAUGGAGUUUCAUUCUUGUUACCCAGGCUGGAGUGCAAUGGUGCGAUCUGAGCUCACUGCAACUUCCACCUCCUGGGUUCAAAUGAUUCUCCUGCCUCAGCCUCCCAAGUAGCUGGGAUUACAGACGCCCGCUCCCACGCCUAGCUAAUUUUUGUAUUUUUAGUAGAGAUGGGGUUUCUCCAUGUUGGCCAGGCUGGUCUCGAACUCCUGACCUUGAGUGAUCCACCCACCCCAGCCUCCCAGAGUGCUGGGAUUACAGGCUUGAGUCACCGUGCCUGGCGCUUGGUUUUCUUAUAAUCUUCAUUAUUCUUUGCUGUGCCUACCUUUGUAAUUUGUAGAUAAUGGAAUGUGUCCACCCGGACUUUGAUGAUGUCCUGCAUUGUUUCAAUAAACAAGAAAUGGUUUUCCCAGAAAGGGAUUUUCUUUUCCCUCUACCUAUGCCCUGCACAUUCCAUCUGGACUUGUCCAAAAUCCCUCUGGUUCCCACGAAUGCCCCACUGUCCACAGUCCCCACAUUAAGACCCCCUUCUGCCAUCUCUCAACAGCCCCUGGCUAAAAACAUUCUCCAAGCCUACUUGCCCCCUCAAUUCUACCACUGCCACCACUUAUGAAAAGGUCCGGUGGUCACGCCACCACCUUGGUCCCUAUUCUCACACACUAGAAGACGGGUUAGCAGUUUGGCACUCCAUGU